UCGUGGAAUGAUUUGUCUGCUUAAUUGCGUUAACGAGCGAGACCGCUGCCCCUAGUUGGCGGUGCGAAAGGUCUGAUUAUCGUCAGGGGCUCGGCGGGGCGACUGCUGCUGGAAACGGCGCAUCCUCCGCCGGGAACCGGGCGUGACACUUUUGCAAUCCGUUUUAACCCUAGGGGGACUAUUGAGAAAAACUCAAUGGAAGUUGGCGGCGAUAACA
rnacentral:rRNA from 1 species